rnacentral:misc_RNA from 1 species
CCGAGUUGACAAACUCCCACAAACCCUCGUGAACAUACCGAUACGGUUGCCUCGGCGGAGGUCCGAAGGCCUCGGGCCCCGGAUCCUCGGUCUCCGUAGGGACGGGCCCGCCGGAGGGAACCCUAAACUCUGAUAUUUUAGUGUACUUCUGAGUAAAACUAACAAUAAGUCA